rnacentral:rRNA from 1 species
GUGAGGAAUAUUGGUCAAUGGGCGCAAGCCUGAACCAGCCAUGCCGCGUGCAGGAAGACGGUCCUAUGGAUUGUAAACUGCUUUUAUUUGGGAAUAAACUCCGGUACGUGUACCGGCCUGAAGGUACCAAAUGAAUAAGCACCGGCUAAAUCUGUGCCAGCAGCCGCGGUAAUACGUAGGGUGCAAGCGUUAUCCGGAAUCAUUGGGUUUAAAGGGUCCGCAGGCGGUCUUAUAAGUCAGUGGUGAAAGCCUACAGCUCAACGGGAGAACUGACAUUGAUGCAGUAGGACGUGAAUUCGAUCGAAGUGGGCGGAAUGUGACAUGUAGCGGUGAAAUGCUUAGAUAUGUCACAGAACACCGAUAGCGAAGGCAGCUCACUAUGUCUGGAUUGACGCUCAGGGACGAAAGCGUGGGGAGCAAACAGGAUUAGAAACCCUAGUAGGCC